CUCACAAAUCCAGCAAAAUCGAAGAUGAAUCAAGCAAAGAAAUUGGGGCUUUAACUAAAUCCUUGAUCCCCUAAGCUAGGAGGUCACAAGUUUGACUCUUGACAAGCUAGAUGGAGGCUUGGGGAAAGAAGCGGCUCAAACGGAUCGUAUACGCGGAAAAGAGCAUAAUCCGGAUACAAGG